ensembl:miRNA
CCACUACUGGCCAGAGCCCCUACUCAAGGCUAGGAGGCCUUGGCCAAGGACAGUC